ACUAUUUUGGCAGAUUAGUGCGGUAAAUUUAGAAUUUAUUUAUGUAGGAUGUUCUACAGGUAGUA
rnacentral:tRNA from 1 species